rnacentral:lncRNA from 1 species
GGGCCAUUGUCUUUCAGGAUGUCGCCCUGGGGAGCCUGCUUGUUACAGGGCAUUUGAGACCUGAGCCUACAGAAGGGAGGAAGAGUCCAUCUCCCACCCCCAUCUCCCAGAGCCCGGCAGACCCCAGUGCAGGGGCUGGGAAGCCAGGUGGAGGUGUGUUUAUUUACUACUGGACAAAGGGGAAGGGAGAGCACUGUUCCUGCUGUCCACCUUUGGAAACCCAUGUGGAGGCCUUUCCUCACUCAUCCUGGGAUAUAGACGCUGGCCAGCUGACUGCAGCUGGGCUCUCCUGGGGGACUCCUGAACCCCUCCCUACAUGGAUGACCCAUGUACCUCAAACAGUGGGAACCAGGAGAUCCUCUGUUCUCUUCAGCUCUCAACCAGUGCGCCUGCGCCACUUCAAGAGUGCGCCUUCUCUCCAGCAGGUGGGAGGAACUAGGUUGCCUCAGGCGCACCUGCAAAAAAUCUGCAGUUGACCGGACAUUUUUCCCCCUCAAUCCAUUACUGCUUUUGCUAAAAACUGAGUGAAUGAAAAGGAAACAUUUCCCGAGGUCAGGGCUCUCUCUGAUUGUUUCCUUAAUAACACACAAUGACUUAACCCUGUUUAUUCCAUUCUAAGCACUGGGAACAGGGACAGAAGAAAAUGCCAAGUAGUUGUACUUUUCUAAACAGGUCCCCAAACACUGACUGUGUUAUUUCAUUCACACAAACAAGGUUGGUGAUACUGGUAUUGACAUUUUUAAAGUGAGCCCUUAAGGACCAAGGAGCAGGGUUUGUGUGAGGACACGUCUUCUGACUGUUCUUCCUAUACAGUCUCCUGCCUUUUAGGGAAGGUCAUGGGCAUGGC